rnacentral:rRNA from 1 species
GACGAACGCUGGCGGCGUGCUUAACACAUGCAAGUCGAACGGAAAGGCCCUGCUUUUGUGGGGUGCUCGAGUGGCGAACGGGUGAGUAACACGUGAGUAACCUGCCCUUGACUUUGGGAUAACUUCAGGAAACUGGGGCUAAUACCGGAUAGGAGCUCCUGCUGCAUGGUGGGGGUUGGAAAGUUUCGGCGGUUGGGGAUGGACUCGCGGCUUAUCAGCUUGUUGGUGGGGUAGUGGCUUACCAAGGCUUUGGCGGGUAGCCGGCCUGAGAGGGUGACCGGCCACAUUGGGACUGAGAUACGGCCCAGACUCCUGCGGGAGGCAGCAGUGGGGAAUAUUGCACAAUGGGCGGAAGCCUGAUGCAGCAACGCCGCGUGCGGGAUGACGGCCUUCGGGUUGUAAACCGCUUUCGCCUGUGACGAAGCGUGAGUGACGGUAAUGGGUAAAGAAGCACCGGCUAACUACGUG